rnacentral:snRNA from 1 species
AUCUUUGCGCAGUGGCAGUAUCGUAGCCAAUGAGGUUAAUCCGAGGUGCGAUUAUUGCUAGUUGAAAAUCUUUUCUUAAGCAUUUACAAGUCCUUUAUACUUAGAAACAUUUCAAACUUUACAUCUGUGCACACC